rnacentral:rRNA from 1 species
UACGUAGGGGGCUAGCGUUGUCCGGAAUCAUUGGGCGUAAAGAGCGUGUAGGCGGCCCGGUAAGUCCGCUGUGAAAGUCGGGGGCUCAACCCUCGAAAGCCGGUGGAUACUGUCGGGCUAGAGUGCGGAAGAGGCGAGUGGAAUUCCAGGUGUAGCGGUGAAAUGCGUAGAUAUCUGGAGGAACACCGGUGGCGAAGGCGGCAUCCUGGACCGGCAGUUGACGCUAAAGCGCGAAAAGCCAGGGGAGCAAACGGGG